rnacentral:tRNA from 1 species
UCCUUGCUGGUCCAGUGGUUAGGACGCCAUGCUUCCACUGCCAGGGACCCAGGUUCAAUCCCUGGUCAGGGAA